ACCAGAUGAGAGCAACGCCCGUUAUUUUCAUGUGGUUAUUGCUGGCCCCCGGGAUUCCCCCUUUGAGGGAGGGACUUUUAAACUCGAACUAUUCCUUCCAGAAGAAUACCCAAUGGCAGCUCCUAAAGUACGUUUCAUGACCAAAAUUUAUCAUCCUAAUGUAGACUAGUUGGGAAGAAUAUGUUUAGAUAUUUUGAAAGAUAAAUGGUCCCCAGCACUGCAGAUCCGCACAGUUCUGCUAUCGAUCCAGGCUUUGUUAAGUGCUCCCAAUCCAGAUGAUCCAUUAGCGAAUGAUGUAGCGGAACAGUGGAAGACCAACGAAGCCCAAGCCAUAGAAACAGCUAGAACAUGGACUAGGCUAUCUGCCAUGAAUAAUAUUUAAAUCGAUCCGAUCAUCAAGUGUGCAUCACUUCUCCUGUUCUGCCAAGAUUCUUCCUUUUUUGUUUGCAUUUAAAGGACACAGUCUUAGAAACAUUACAGAAUAAAAGCCCAGACAUCUUCAGUCCUUUGGAGAUUAAAUGCACAUUAGCAAAUCUAUGUCUUGUCCUGAUUCACUGUUGUAAAGCAUGAACAGAGGCUAGAAGUAUCAUCUGGAUUGUUAUGAAACGUUUAAAAGCAGUGCUCCCUCUCUGCUUUUAUUCAUUUCCCCCAUCAUGGUUUAAGUAUAAAGCACUGUGAAUGAAGGUAGUUGUCAGGGUUAGCUGCAGGGGUGUGGGUGUUUUUAUUUUAUUUUACCUUUUAUUUUUGUGGGGGGAGGUAGUUUUAUUUUAAUUUUAUGGGCUCCUUUCCCCGUUUUUAUGGUGAUCUAAUUGCAGCUAACCAAUUCUUUAGAAUAUCCUCUCUAGCCAAGUCUAACUUUAUUUAGACAUUGUAGAUGGACAAGCUUGAUUGUUUGAACCAAAAUGGGAACAUUAAACAAACAUCACAGUCCUCACUAAUAACAUCGUGACUUUGCUGUCAAGUGUAGAUUUUUCCCCCCUUCAAAAAAAAGCUUGUGACCAUUUUGUAUGGCUUGUCUGGAAACUUCUGUAAAUCUUAUGUUUUAGUAAAAUAUUUUUUGUUAUUCUA